rnacentral:rRNA from 1 species
UAAUACGAAGGGGGCUAGCGUUGCUCGGAAUGACUGGGCGUAAAGGGCGCGUAGGCGGAUGGUACAGUCAGAUGUGAAAUUCCUGGGCUUAACCUGGGGGCUGCAUUUGAUACGUGCGAUCUGGAGUGAGGAAGAGGGUCGUGGAAUUCCCAGUGUAGAGGUGAAAUUCGUAGAUAUUGGGAAGAACACCGGUGGCGAAGGCGGCGACCUGGUCCUUGACUGACGCUGAGGCGCGAAAGCGUGGGGAGCAAACAGG